rnacentral:ncRNA from 16 species
AUUAUAGUGCCGGGUGAUGGUUCCCCGCGUCCGCUUAGGGCAAGGGGUGAAAAUGGGAACGUGGUGCGGCGCCCGAAAAGGGGGCCAAUUCCGCGACUGCCCCCGCAACUGUAGGCGGAGAGGUUCCGGCCGUUAGAGACGCCACUGGCCCUGAAAUGGGGCUGGGAAGGCUAUGCCGGACCCAACGACCCGCGAGUCAGGAGACCUGCCAUCAUCGAGAGUCGCUUG